rnacentral:rRNA from 1 species
UGGGGAAUAUUGGACAAUGGGCGAAAGCCUGAUCCAGCCAUGCCGCGUGUGUGAAGAAGGUCUUCGGAUUGUAAAGCACUUUAAGUUGGGAGGAAGGGCAUUAACCUAAUACGUUAGUGUUUUGACGUUACCGACAGAAUAAGCACCGGCUAACUCUGUGCCAGCAGCCGCGGUAAUACAGAGGGUGCAAGCGUUAAUCGGAAUUACUGGGCGUAAAGCGCGCGUAGGUGGUUUGUUAAAGUGUAUGUGAAAUCCCCGGGCUCAACCUGGGAACUGCAUUCAAAACUGACUGACUAGAGUAUGGUAGAGGGUGGUGGAAUUGCCUGUGUAGCGGUGAAAUGCGUAGAUAUAGGAAGGAACACCAGUGGCGAAGGCGACCACCUGGACUAAUACUGACACUGAGGUGCGAAAGCGUGGGGAGCAAACA